rnacentral:rRNA from 1 species
GUUUGAUCCUGGCUCAGGAUGAACGCUGGCGGCGUGGAUAAGGCAUGCAAGUCGAGCGAGACUUCGGUCUAGCGGCGAACGGGGUAGUACAAAGUAGGAACGUACCUGUAACUCUGGGAUAACUCCGAGAAAUCGGAGCUAAUACCAGAUAGUCCCGCAAGGGUAAAGUCACGGCGGUUACAGAUCGGCCUACUCCCCAUCAGCUUGUUGGUGAGGUAAUGGCUUACCAAGGCUAUGACGGGUAGGGGACGUGAGAGCGUGACCCCCACCACUCGCACUGAGACACUGGCGAGACACCUACGGGUGGCUGCAGUCGAGAAUCUUCGGCAAUGGGCGCAAGCCUGACCGAGCGACGCCGCGUGCAGGAGGAAGCCCUUCGGGGUGUAAACUGCUUUUAUGUGGGAACAAGACUUCGGUUUGAGUGUACCUCAUGAAUAAGGGGCUGCUAACUCUGUGCCAGCAGCAGCGGUAAUACAGAGGCCCCGAGCGUUAUCCGGAAUCAUUGGGCGUAAAGGAUCCGUAGGCGGCGUUGUAAGUUGCCUGUUAAAUACCCCGGCUCAACCGGGGAAGUGCAGGCAAAACUGCAAUGCUUGAGCGUGUGAGAGGCUGAUGGAACGCAUGGAGUAGGGAUGAAAUCCGUUGAUACCAUGCGGAACACCAAAGGCGAAGGCAUUCAGCUGGCACACCGCUGACGCUGAGGGAUGAAAGCCUGGGGGAGCGAAACGGAUUAGAUACCCGUGUAGUCCAGGCCCUAAACGAUGUCGACUAGUCAUGUGGAGUGUCGACCCUCCACGUGGCGUAGCUAACGCGUUAAGUCGACCGCCUGGGAAUUACGAUCGCAAGAUUAAAACUCAAAGGAAUUGACGGAAG